GCUGAGCUAAACAAGCGUAGAGUGUAGAUUCGGAAUGUGCUAAGCCUAAGGUGUGGGUUCUAGGUAGAAUCUACUGACCAUCUUUUGGUGCAAUGUUUAACGGCAAAAGCAAUAUGGUGGCAAAUCCUUGUGUGGCUAUAAGUCCCAAGCAUGCAGCAAAUGGAGUCAUGUAAAAACUUGUUGGGAAUGGUACCGACCUAAAUCAAUCAAACAUGUGGAAGAAGGUUAUUGGUGCGGUUCUUCAAUCAACUGUGUGGCAAAUAUGAAAGGCUAGGAAUGAGAAGGAAUUUAACGGUAAAUUCAUUCCAAUCGCAAUGACUGUGGAAGUCAUAAAAGAAAACAUAUAUUUGUGGAUUAGAGCGAGAUCCAAGUUCCAUAGUAUCGAUUGAAAGAGAUGGCGAGAUUUUAAUGUUAAGGAUCCUUAGCUGGAUCUUUUCUAUUAGUAAUAGAAUCUUUGUCGUACAUGCUCAACUAUAA
rnacentral:lncRNA from 1 species